rnacentral:rRNA from 1 species
UCCUAUAAUCGAUACCCCCCGUUCCACCCAACCCUUACUAGCAAAAUCAGCCUAUAUACCGCCGUCGACAGUCUACCCCAUGAGGGUUCAACAGUAGAUAAAAUAGUUAACAACUAACACGUCAGGUCAAGGUGUAGCAAAUGUGAGGGAAGAGAUUGGCUACAUUUUUUAUUUUAAAAAACACGAAAUGCAUCAUGAAACACUGCAUGAAGGCGAAUUUAGUAGUAAAAUAAACAAGAGUGUUUAUUUUAACACCGCUCUGGGACGCGU